rnacentral:rRNA from 1 species
AGUGAACGCUGGCGGUAGGCCUAACACAUGCAAGUCGAACGGCAGCACAGUAAGAGCUUGCUCUUACGGGUGGCGAGUGGCGGACGGGUGAGGAAUACAUCGGAAUCUACUUUUUCGUGGGGGAUAACGUAGGGAAACUUACGCUAAUACCGCAUACGACCUACGGGUGAAAGCAGGGGAUCUUCGGACCUUGCGCGAUUGAAUGAGCCGAUGUCGGAUUAGCUGGUUGGCGGGGUAAAGGCCCACCAAGGCGACGAUCCGUAGCUGGUCUGAGAGGAUGAUCAGCCACACUGGAACUGAGACACGGUCCAGACUCCUACGGGGGGCAGCAGUGGGGAAUAUUGGACAAUGGGCGCAAGCCUGAUCCAGCCAUACCGCGUGGGUGAAGAAGGCCUUCGGGUUGUAAAGCCCUUUUGUUGGGAAAGAAAAGCAGCAGGUUAAUACCCCGCUGUUCUGACGGUACCCAAAGAAUAAGCACCGGCUAACUUCGU